UAAAUAUUAUGCAAGGGAUUUAAAAUCCCUCGGCGUUCGCGCUGUGUGGGUUCAAGUCCCACUCCGGCUACCA
rnacentral:tRNA from 2 species